rnacentral:rRNA from 1 species
UACAGAGGGUGCAAGCGUUGUUCGGAAUUAUUGGGCGUAAAGCGCGUGUAGGCGGCCGCUUAAGUCUGGUGUGAAAGCCCGGGGCCUAACCCCGGAAGUGCACUGGAUACUGGGCAGCUAGAGGACGAGAGAGGAUAGUGGAAUUCCUGGUGUAGCGGUGGAAUGCGCAGAUAUCAGGAGGAACACCAAUAGCGAAGGCAGCUCGCUGGGACGUUACUGACACUGAGGCGCGAAAGCGUGGGGAGCGAACAGG